UGCAAGGGCACUCUGUGAUAACCAUAAUUGAUAUGUUAUUUACAAUUUGUUACCUUGCUACAUAAAAUUCUACUAAACCCUAUUCCGAUCAGCUAAGACAUGGCGGUUCGGUCAUAUUAGUAGAUACAGUUUU